GAUGAACGCUGGCGGCGUGCCUAAUACAUGCAAGUCGAGCGGACAGACGCGGCGCUUGCUCCUCUCACGUUAGCGGCGCACGGGUGUGUAACACGUGUAUAACCUACCUGUAAGACUGGUAUAACUUCGGGAAACCGGCGCUAAUACCGGAUAAUCUAUUGAUCCGCAUGGUUCAAUGGUGAAAGACGGUUUUGCUGGCACUUAUAGAUGGAUCCGCGCCGCUUGAGCUAGUUGGUAAGGUAACGGCUUACCAAGGCAACGAUGCGUAGCCGAAGGGAUAGGCGGAUCGGCGACCUGGGAAGUGAGACGCGGACAAGAGUACUAAGGUAGGCAGCAGACUGCAAUCGGCCGCAAUGGGCGAAAGCAUUACGGAGCAACGGGGAGUGAGAGAUGAAGGUCUUCGGAGCGGAAAACUGUGUUAUGAGGUGAGAACAAAUGUGGAAGGAACUAUGCAGGGCUUGACGGUAAUGAGUCAGAAAGCCACGGCUAACUACGUG
rnacentral:rRNA from 1 species